UACGGAGGGUGCAAGCGUUAUCCGGAUUCACUGGGUUUAAAGGGUGCGUAGGUGGGCAGGUAAGUCAGUGGUGAAAUCUCCGGGCUUAACCCGGAACUGCCGUUGAUACUAUCUGUCUUGAAUAUAGUGGAGGUGAGCGGAAUAUGUCAUGUAGCGGUGAAAUGCUUAGAUAUGACAUGGAACACCAAUUGCGAAGGCAGCUCGCUACACUAUCAUUGACACUGAGGCACGAAAGCGUGGGGAUCAAACAGG
rnacentral:rRNA from 1 species